rnacentral:rRNA from 1 species
UACGGAGGGUGCACGCGUUGUUCGGAAUUACUGGGCGUCCCGCGCGCGUCGGCGGUUUGUUCCGUCCGCUGUUCCCGCCCCUUUCUCCCCCCUUUCUUUUCAUUUGAAACUGGCAGACUUGAGUAUUGGAGGGGGUGGUGGAAUUCCCGGUGUAGAGGUGAAAUUCGUAGAUAUCGGGAGGAAUACCAGUGGCGAAGGCGACCACCUGGCCAAAUACUGACGCUGAGGUGCGAAAGCGUGGGGAGCAAACAGG